UACAGAGGUCUCAAGCGUUGUUCGGAAUUACUGGGCGUAAAGCGCGUGUAGGCGGCCAGAUAAGUCCGCUGUGAAAUCUCGAGGCUCAACUUCGAGCUGUCGGUGGAAACUGUCUGGCUAGAGUCCGGAAGAGGAGAAUGGAAUUCCUGGUGUAGCGGUGAAAUGCGCAGAUAUCAGGAAGAACACCCGGUGGCGAAGGCGGUUCUCUGGGACGGUACUGACGCUGAGACGCGAAAGCGUGGGGAGCGAACAGG
rnacentral:rRNA from 1 species